rnacentral:rRNA from 1 species
UACGUAGGGUGCGAGCGUUAAUCGGAAUUACUGGGCGUAAAGCGUGCGCAGGCGGUGAUGUAAGACCGAUGUGAAAUCCCCGGGCUUAACCUGGGAACUGCAUUGGUGACUGCAUUGCUGGAGUAUGGCAGAGGGGGGUGGAAUUCCACGUGUAGCAGUGAAAUGCGUAGAUAUGCGGAGGAACACCGAUGGCGAAGGCAAUCCCCUGGACCUGUACUGACGCUCAGGCACGAAAGCGUGGGGAGCAAACGAGG